rnacentral:rRNA from 1 species
CCCUUAGAUGUUCUGGGCCGCACGCGCGCUACACUGACGGAUUCAACGAGCUUACAACCUUGGCCGAAAGGUCUGGGUAAUCUCCAAAAUCCGUCGUGAUGGGGAUAGAUUAUUGCAAUUAUUAAUCUUCAACGAGGAAUGCCUAGUAAGCGCAAGUCAUCAGCUUGCGUUGAUUACGUCCCUGCCCCUUGUACACACCGCCCGUCGCUCCUACCGAUUGAAUGGUCCGGUGAAGCGUUUGGACUAUGGUUUUCUGAUGGUCCGCCGUUGGAUUACCGUGGGAAGUUCGUUAAACCUUAUCAUUUAGAGGAAGGAGAAGUCGUAACA